rnacentral:rRNA from 1 species
CUUGCAGGGUACUCGAGUGGCGAACGGGUGAGUAACACGUGGGUGAUCUGCCCUGCACUUCGGGAUAAGCUUGGGAAACUGGGUCUAAUACCGGAUAGGAACCAUCUUUAGUGUGGUGGUUGGAAAGUUUUUUCGGUGUAGGAUGAGCUCGCGGCCUAUCAGCUUGUUGGUGGGGUAAUGGCCUACCAAGGCGGCGACGGGUAGCCGGCCUGAGAGGGUGUACGGCCACAUUGGGACUUAGAUACGGCCCAG